AAUGGGCGAAAGACGGGACUUGAACCCGCGACAUCCAGAUCCACAAUCUGGCGCUCUAACCAACUGAGCUACAUUCGCC
rnacentral:tRNA from 1 species